rnacentral:rRNA from 1 species
UGCAUUCGAAACUGGCAGGCUGGAGUCUUGUAUAGGGGGGUAGAAUUCCAGGUGUAGCGGUGAAAUGCGUAGAGAUCUGGAGGAAUACCGGUGGCGAAGGCGGCCCCCUGGACAAAGACUGACGCUCAGGUGCGAAAGCGUGGGGAGCAAACAGGAUUAGAUACCCUGGUAGUCCACGCUGUAAACGAUGUCGACUUGGAGGUUGUUCCCUUGAGGAGUGGCUUCCGGAGCUAACGCGUUAAGUCGACCGCCUGGGGAGUACGGCCGCAAGGUUAAAACUCAAAGGAAUUGACGGA